AGAGGGUGACACUCCCGUCCGCCUGGUAGAAUGAGUCUUUGUUCAACGAGUCGAGUUGUUUGGGAUUGCAGCUCUAAUUUGGUGGUAAAUUCCAUCUAAAGCUAAAUAUUGGUGGGAGACCGAUAGCGUACAAGUACCGUGAGGGAAAGAUGCAAAGAACUUUGAAAAGAGAGUUAAAGAGUACCUGAAAUUGCUGAAGCGGAAGCGAAGGAAACCAGUGUUUGUUUGUUCAUAUUUCCCUGGCCACUUGUGGUUUGGGCGCUGUGGGCUUGCGUGGGUUUACUUUGGUUGAUCCCUUUGGAAGAGCGCAGUCAGAGUUGAUGUCU
rnacentral:rRNA from 1 species